ACCAGACUCCUACGGGAGGCAGCAGUGGGGAAUAUUGCACAAUGGGGGAAACCCUGAUGCAGCGACGCCGCGUGAGCGAUGAAGUAUUUCGGUAUGUAAAGCUCUACCAGCAGGGAAGAAAAUGACGGUACCUGACUAAGAAGCCCCGGCUAACUACGUGCCAGCAGCCGCGGUAAUACGUAGGGGGCAAGCGUUAUCCGGAUUUACUGGGUGUAAAGGGAGCGUAGACGGCGGUGCAAGCCAGAUGUGAAAGGCCGGGGCCCAACCCCGGGACUGCAUUGGAAACUGCGAGGCUGGAGUGUCGGAGAGGCAGGCGGAAUUCCUAGUGUAGCGGUGAAAUGCGUAGAUAUUAGGAGGAACACCAGUGGCGAAGGCGGCCUGCUGGACGAUGACUGACGCUGAGGCUCGAAAGCGUGGGGAGCAAACAGGAUUAGAUACCCUAGUAUC
rnacentral:rRNA from 1 species